GGCCUCAUAGCUCAGUUGUCUAGAGCGUUGACUGUACUGAAGACUUUGCCUUGCUGACGUGGGUUUGAAUCCCACCGAAGUCC
rnacentral:tRNA from 1 species